UACGAAGGGGCUAGCGUUGCUCGGAAUCACUGGGCGUAAAGGGUGCGUAGGCGGGUCUUAAGUCAGGGGUGAAAUCCUGGAGCUCAACUCCAGAACUGCCUUUUGAUACUGAGGAUCUUUUGAGUUCGGGAGAGGUGAGUGGAACUGCGAGUGUAGAGGUGAAAUUCGUAGAUAUUCGCAAGAACACCAGUGGCGAAGGCGGCUCACUGGCCCGAUACUGACGCUGAGGCACGAAAGCGUGGGGAGCAAACAGG
rnacentral:rRNA from 1 species